ensembl:lncRNA
CAGAUGUCCAACGCGCAGCAGGCCCCGGCGUCGUGCACUGUCAUUGUUGGUAUUGUCUUGCUUUGAUAGCUGCCACGCGUCUAGUAUCAGAUGAACAAUGCCAGAUGACAACUAGAGCACAGGAGAGCUCUGCUGGAAUGCUGCUAAGCUGCAGAUGUACCAGCCAAAUUACUCCAGAGGGGAAUUACCAGACCAUAAAUCCAGACGUCAGGAGGAUGGCUGUAGCUUAUUUCACGAGAAUAUUACUUCCUUCGCAGACAGAUGUCCUCACAGAGAUCCUUCUCACCGUGAAAAUAUGCAAUUUGUUUGCAUUUGGAGAAGAUUUACUGACAAACGUGGAAACACCUGCCCGGCCUGGAGUGUGGCCAGUGAAGUGCCGUGCUGUUGGAAGUCCCAGCGGAACGCUGAAAUUCCCCUCAGUGGUAACGAAGGAGAGGGGACGCGAGGCUCCGGCUAAAACAUCACCAACGCUGACCUGUUGUACCUAAAAUCAAAGCGUGCGUUAUCAGAUGGAUGUGUUCUCGCUCAACCUGCGCCGUGACAUUUCCGAGGAACCUCGGCCCAACUUCGCCGCGCGCUGGAGUGAGUCGUGUUCAGAGGGUAUCGAUGCGGCUGAUAAGAGCUCCGGUUGCUUUUCGAUAUCAUCUGAAUUCCUGAACUCCUGUGAUCGCGGGCCGUGUCCCUCAGUUCAUACAUGAUAUACUGCGCACCACCAACACAACACACUGUACAUUUUCCUUUAAGACUGGGUGUAAUGCUGUAAUCCACAGCUUAAGAGCCCUCGUUUAUUUGCUGGACCCCUCCCGUCUUUCCUUGCUCAAUACUUGCAGUGCUGUUUUUUUUACUGCAGGUUAGGAAGAGAAACCAUCUUAUCUGUGACUGGGGGGAUUUAUUAGUGAAAAAAAGAUAAUUGCUAUUCAUAGGCCACUGGGGGCUGAUUUACAACCACUAAUAUUUAGGAUUCCUAGAGCUGUUUUUCAGUGUUUUAUCUGUAGACCUGCCUGCAGCACAGGGGGGAGAGAGGUCAUGUUAGAGGAUGAGGGAUGGGCCGGGCAAAGCCUCCACUCAAAGCGAUUCCACUGAAGACUAAUGUGUGAGGAAGUGGUCUGAGUGCAAGAAGAGGCCUCGCGCAUGUAGGUCUGCCACGAGGUGACAAACACCUGCUCUGCUCAGCCUGUAAUGAGUCUGCAGCGCAGAUCAGUCCCGUCCGUUUUAUCUCUGAGGGAAAUCCUAAGAAAACAAAAAAUGGUCAUAAAAGGGGAAAUCUGCAGACAAGCGCCGCUUUAAAAGCUUUUCUAUUAUGUUUAAAGUAUCUGAAGCAGCCACUCUUCCAUUCUGGCGUGUGACGCUGCUAUGGGAGUGUGCGGAGAAAACAGGACUCGUCCUCAUAAAGGACGACCCUGGUUCUGUCGGUACCUACAACACAGGUAGCUUUUUGUUCUGAGGUUUGGGAACGCUUGGUUGCAGGCGAAACAGGAAAUGAAGAGUUUUGGGCCUGUCUGUCCGUGCUGAUCCUCCGGCUGACCGGGAGGCAGCGGGGGCUCGGAGUGAGAGCGCUCAGAUGUGAGGUCACGGGUUCAAAGCCCAGGUGUUGUGCCUCGCAGCAGGACCCUUCCCAGUCUAAACAGUGUAAAUGAUUUUAGAGAAUGUAGAGGUUAACCUGGGAUCACAGAGAGCCACUUGUACUGUAUCUGCCAGGUAUCAGAUUGUAAACAGGCUAAUCUGCUUCAGCCUGGUGGGUGGGUGAUUGUUUGCUAGGUAAUAAUGUGCAUCAGUUUGAUAUACAGUAGAGCAGAAAUUCUGGCAACUCUCAUCCCUGUUUCACUGAGUUUUGGUGGGAAGAAAUAUAUAAUUUAUAUCAGUUCAGAUAGGAGUUAAGCAAUUAUCAAAUUUAAUUUUCAAUUUGUUGUUCCAAAUGAAAAGAGCCUAUCAGUGGAUGUAAACUGUGAUAUUGCGGCAGAAGUAAUAAAACACACACUGGUGGAGAAUCCCGG